rnacentral:rRNA from 1 species
GAUGAACGCUGGCGGCGUGCCUAAAAACAUGCAAGUCGAGCGGCAGCGAGUUCCUCGCUAAUGUUCGGAUUUGUUUACCAAUGAUGCAAGUAAUUUAGUCAGAGUAACAAAGUAACGACUAGUUGUUUAAGUUAAAAGGUAGAUUUAAUAUUCCGGAUAUGAGCGAGGAAUGUCGGCGAGCGGCGGACGGCUGAGUAGCGCGUAGGAACAUACCCCAAAGUGAGGCAUAACCGCCCGAAAGGGUGGCUAAUACCGCAUAUUGUCUUCGGAUGAAAGCUUUUAGCGCUUUGGGAAUGGCCUGCGUUUGAUUAGCUAGUUGGUGAGGUAAGGGCUUACCAAGGCGAUGAUCAAUAGCUGGUUUGAGAGAAUGAUCAGCCAGACUGGAACUGAGACACGGUCCAGACUCCUACGGGAGGCAGCAGUUGGGAAUUUUCCACAAUGGGCGAAAGCCUGAUGGAGCAACGCCGCGUGCAAGGAAGAAUGCCUUCGGGUUGUAAA